rnacentral:lncRNA from 1 species
UUUUCUACAAUUUAAGUAUAUUUUGGAGGCAAUUCAAUAGUUCAAAAAGAAGAUAUUGGUACUAAAAUUUCAACAUUGAGAUUGGAAUAGGAGGCUGGCCAACAUCCAAGUGGAAUCUUCUAUUUGGUAAGUUUAAUAUUCUUAAAAUUUGGUAUGCUUAUUGCCAACUUAGUUGUUAAAAGGUGUGUAAAAUCUUAAGUAAGAUCAAUAAUAUAAUUGAUAGAUAUUGAGGUUCUAAAUUGUCCCAAGAUUAAGUUAAUUUGAUUAGAAUUUGGUUUAGGAUUUAGGAAUUGGUUACGAUUUAGGGUUGGUUUAGGAUUUAGUUAGGAUUUGAUUUAGGAUUUAAGUAAGGACUAUUAGGAUUUUAAUUAGAAUUUAAAUAAGAUUUGGUUAGAAUUGAUUCAAGAUAUAUUUUGGAUUUUAUUUUAAUAUUUCUUUUGAAUUUCUAUAGGAUAUGUUUAUGCUUCUUUUGUAAUUUAUUUGAGGUUUCUUUGGAAUGAUUAAAGAUUGAUUAAUAUUUUUAAGGUUUAAUUGGAGUUAUUUAGGACUCUUUUAGAAUUAAAAUCUUGUUGUUGCCAUAUUCCUUCUACCUUCCACAACUA